GAAGGGGUUUUUGGUGGUUUUUUCUGUUUUUUUUUUUUACUUGAAACAAAGUCUCCGCACAGCAGCGCGAUGAGCGGCGAUGCCAGCCAGGCGAUGGUCUGAGAGGAAGACUAAGGCGCUAGUGCAGAUUUAUUGGAAAGUGAAGGUCAGUUGUUACAAACUGCUUAGGGAGACAAGCUGACAGGAAGAUAAAGGGAGAAUGCUCCAGGAGCAGAAAGAUGGAGGCCUUCAUGCAUUCUGAGAGCCUCACAUUCUGGAAAGCUUGAAAAUAUACAAGAUUCAACUAUCAUAGAGUCACAGAAUGGUUUGGGUUGGAAGGAACCUUAAAGAUCAUCUAGUUCCAACCCCCCUGCCAUGGGCAGGGACACCUUACAUGAGACCAGAUUGCUCAGAGCCCUGUCCAACCUGGCCUUGAACACUUUCAUUAAUCUAAGCGAACAUAAAUGAACUUUGGACCAUUUUCCUGGUUACUGGCGAUGUUUGUAAAAGCUUUUUCUCUUUUCUCUUAGAAGAGGUUGAUAAGAAUUAUUGCUAGAGUAUAAUAUUUUUGCCCUUUUUUCACUUAAAAAGUAUUAAUUUGCAUGUAUUUGUCUUUUUGUUCAUAUCACAGCUUUGCAGCUAGGCGUUUAUUUGUCGAACUGUUGCUUUAUGGUGCUCCUCAGAAGUACAUCAAUUCUGUUACACAGAUCGGUGCGUAAAACGCUUCCAUCUGAAACAAAAUUGAUCCUGCUGUUUCUUUAUUUAUAUACAUAGGCUAUCCACAGCUGUCUGAAGAUAUCAGGUGGAGUUGCAGUCCAAAUGUAAAACAUUCUUCAUUCUGUGCUUGUGUUCAUGUAAAAUAUAAGAAUAGUGCCUAUUUACAUGUUAUCAUUUUCGCUUCAAGAUAUUUUUCAAAAACCAUAAAUUAUCUUUUUCAUGGUCAAAAGGCAUUUGAAUGCAUGUGUUUAUUGUUUUUCUUGCUUGAAAUAAAUAAACAAAUAAAUAACAUGCAAAACCAAGUUCUAAAUCAAAACAUUAAAAUACUAGUGAAGUAUUUGUUCCCUGAAAAACAAAAAUGGUAAUAGAUUUGUGCCCCUGUUGUUCUUAAGUACCUAAUAUUUUAUAUAGACUUACAAGAAAUAAAACCAAAUACUGGAACUUUUUAAUAGUGGAAAAGAAAUGGCUCAAAAAUAGUAUGCAAAUAGGGUCAGUUGCUAAAACGUCCAUUGCAUGAUGUCAGAUUAUUCUGUUACACAACUGCUUUAUAUGAACUCUUCUGGACACUCAGAAGAAUUAUGGGUUUUAAUUUUGCGUAUUAAAAUGAUUGUUUCCAUACAGACACAUACAGAAAGUUGCAGGCUCUCUUCAGAAAAUGAAGUGUGUUGGCAAGGUUUUGGCAGCAGGGAGGGCUACAGGGACAGCUUCUUUGAGAAGCUGCUAGUAGCUCCCUCAUGACUGAUAGAACCAAUGCCAGACGACUCUAAGACAGACUUGCCGCUACCAAAGGCUGAGCCCAUCAACAACAGUGGUAGUGCCUCUGGGAUAACAGACAUAAGAACAGGGAAAAAAACUGUGCCCAACAGCAGCUGGAAGAGAGGAGUGAGAAUCUGGGACACUUAAGAUUCCAACAGACCGUGUGCUGGAAAAUCUAGUCUAGGUGAUGCUUUGCUUAAAAAGGUUGGACCAGAUGAUCCUUGAGGUCCCCUCCAACCUGGUGUUCUGUGAUUCUAUAUGUGAUCAAAGCAACUCUGCAGACACCAGGGUCAGUGAAGAAGGGCAGGAAGGUGGUACUUCAGGUCAGGAGCUGCACCAUGGUGGGGCAGGCUGUGCCCCUGCAGUCCAUGUAGUUCCACAGUGGAGCAGAUAUCUACCUGCAGCCUGUGGAGGACCCCAUUCUGGAACAGGGGAAUGCCCAAAGGAGUCUGUGAUCCUGUGGGAAGCCCAUGCUGGAGCAGGCUCCUGGCAGGACCUUGAGAGAGGAGCCCGCACUGGAGCAGGUUUGCUGCAGAACUUGUGACCCCACAGGGGACCCACACUGUAGCAGCCUGUGCCUGAAGAAUUGCACCCAAAGAAAGGUCCCACACUGGAACAGUUCAUGAAGAACUGCAGCCUGUGGGAACAACUCGUGUUGAAGUUUGUGGAGGACUCACUCCCAUGUGAGGAACCCUGUGGCACAGGGUAUGUG